GCUUAUAGCCAUACCACGUCGAAAACAAGACAUCAGGUCCGAUCUGUCAAGUUAAGCAACGUUGCGCUUGGUUAGCACUAGCAUCGGAGACGGUCUGGGAAUCCCAAGUGCCCUAAGCU
rnacentral:rRNA from 1 species